CAAGCUGGAGCCUUGGCACCUCGUGCCUGAACGGAGUCAUACUGCACCGGCCGGGUGGCAGGGGCCGUAGCUAUGCUGGCCGCCUCUCCCAUCAGCUCCCCAGGCAACUGGAAACACCGCCUGAUCCUCAGCGUGGGAAGAUCUGAGACGCGAGAUUAGCGGAGAAGGAACUCCAACCACACAACAGCGUCUGCCCCGGCUACUGCCGCGCUAAAACACGCGCUCUGCUCCCCACAGCGUGUGGCUGCGGAGGUAACAUCUCUGGGAGGACAAUGGGUGAGGAGGAGUGUCUGCAGGACAGGCUGACACGGCCGAAGCCCGCACCGGAGCCGGGCCGGCAGGGCACGGGCGCUGGGUGUGGAUGAGCGCGGCUCGGCCCGCGGGAGCCGCUCAGCCGGAACCGGCGGGAGGACACGGGGGCAUCUCCCCGCUACAGGGCACUUCCUGACGGCCAGAAAUACGCACAAACGCCCCCAAGCCCUAAAAGCGCCAACAACAAGGCAGGAUUUACCCUCGCUUAUACAGCAUGAUUUCAAGGCCGGUGUCCGGCGGCUGACUCCCAGAAGAAGCUCCAGGACUCAAAAUGAAGCUCUAUGAACAAAAUUUGCUGCUGAUGGAGGCUGCUGAGGCCGCCAGGACAAUCCCAGUACUGUGGAUGGUGGGCACUCACGGCACUUGCUCUUUUCCUAAUGCCUUUUGUAUUUCUACAAGCUCCAUGCUAGAAAACCUGGAAUUUAAUGGUGACAUGUCAAGUAAAAGAUCUUGCUGGCCAAACAGAAGAAAGCUAAAUGUCCUUCUAGCUGUCAGACUCUGAUCCUCUGUGUACUGAGCACUAGCCUGAAGGGGCUGCCCUUCAUCCCACUGCAGUUGGUUCUUUACAACUUGACCCCAGAUGCUCAGCCACAGAGAAUUUUUGUAGUAUAAAACAUCAGGACAACAAGCAGCAAACAUGGUACCUGCAGUGCCCAAAAAGGCUCCCUGUGGGCAUCUGUACUUCCAACAUCUUUGCUGUUGCUCGUGGGUAUAUCCAGGAACUCCCCAAAAUGCUGCAUGCCAGUACUGCAGACAACCCACAGACUCACACCAGUCUAAGCAGACAUCAAAAACCAUCAGAAAUGUUUAAACUUAACCAGGUAAAGAGCUUGUGUUUUUAAAGGUGCAAACUUACUGUUUUUAAUUGAUAAAAAAGACCUCUUCCUAGAUGUACAGGGAAGGCAAAAGCCUUUUAUUUUAUGAAGAUUGAAAAGAAGAAAGCACAGUCAUUUUGCACAAAAGCUGAAAAGUUAUUAACAAAGGAAAAUAGACUUCUUUUGCAGGAGAUACACUUCACUUAAUACUAAAUGGUAUAUCAUGAAAUCAGUUAAAAUAUUUGUGGCAUGUCAUGAAGUAUUCAUCAGUUGGGUAUUUUCGUAGGUCUCAUUAGAGCUUUAGUAGUGAUUCUAGCUGUGCUGCUAGAUGUAGACAAAAUACCCAGCUGCUUAUGGCAACAAAUUGGAAGAAAGGAAGACGGAAAAGCAAAUAAAUUACUUCAGAUCUAGCUCUGCCUUGUUGCUCCCACUAAAGUCAGCCAGCAAAGAACAGAGCAGUGUGUAGGGGACCCACCACACCACCAUAAAUCUCAGCUUUCUGGCUCUUUCCCCAUUCUACCUUCCAGGUUUUCUGUCUCUCCCAGUUCUCCAUAAGAGUGGCAGUCCAGGUUCUGUCAUGGCUACACAAAAUUAACCAGUGUCUACAAUUCAGAGAUGCUUUUGAGCCACCUCAAACACAUGUAUGAGCAUAGGUCCAGCAGCACCAAUGGACUUUGCCAUUGCUGUGUUUAACUUUUUCCUAGCUGACUCCCAGAGGAAACUCCAGGACUCAAAAUGAAACCCUACAAGCACUCAAAUACUUUGGGCAUCUUGGUGGCCAGCAUGAGUUCACAAGAACCCCAGGUCACUGAGGGAGGAGCCAUCUCUGCUUGGCAGUAAGAAAUACUGGGAAUAGGGAAGCCUAAAUUCCCAGUACAGGGACUGGAUGAACCAUCAGGUGAGACUGUGCAGUGUGUGGGCAGGGUUUAGCAUGCUUCUCCUUGCUCUUCUGUGACUGAAUAAAGCCAGCCAGGCACAGGUAUUGUUUCCCUCAAGCAGCCAGGCAUAACCCAGACUUGUUUACCUGCCUAGCACCACAUCAAUUACAUCCAGUGAGCUGGUGAUAUAUAAUCCAGCAUUCAGGCUAUUGGCAUCAUCUGGUUAGUCUAUGUGUUUUGAUUAUUAAACACUGCAAAAGAAAAGUAUCUAAAAUUUUCAUGCAGUCAUAGGACUGCUCCUGCCUUUACACACAACAUUGAAAUAUUCAUGGCAUUUAUAAUUUUAAAUGGAUUUGCAUUGCAAGUAACAACUUGGUGUUAACAUUUUUAAUCUUGUAAAUUGGAAGAAAAUAGGUCCAAUUUGAAAAUUAGCUGGUAUUUUAGUGUUUCCCCUGUUUUUCUAAUUAACAUUAAAAAAGUUAUUGAACAAACAUUUAUUUAGACUUUGGUUCAUUCAAGUGUCUACUAGUACUACCUCAUAUUUUUUUUUCUAAUUGGCUGCUCUUUAUGGUAAAACUUAAAUACUGUCUUCCUCAAUUCUGAAUGAGAGGCAAGUGUAAAAGAAUAAGAUUGAAAAGAAACAGAAAAAAUGCACCAAAACACUCUGCAUAGUUGUUACAGUUAACAACAGCAGAAAUGGUUAGGGAAGGAAAUGAGCUUGUGAUCCCACAUUUUGCACACCUGUAUCCAUGUGAGAUCACACUUCUAUAUUUAUGGUUUGUCUCACCCACUCUACCUCUUUCAGCCCCCCUGCCUACCCUGCCUGGGGAGCUGCAGACUUGCCUGUUUCCACAGCCUGCUUGCUGCUGGCCUGUAUUGGCUGCAGUGCUCAAACUGGGGACAAGCAUUCUCAAAGCAUCCCAUUCUUUCUGCUGCACUCUCUUUCAACUUUAUAAAAUUCUAUUUUCAAAUGCAGCUCGUACCUUAUCCCUUCUAUUUUACAGCUUACCUUUGCACAGAACCAUCUACUUCUCCAUGCUGGUGUCUGCAUUGGCAAGGGCUGGGGGCUCCACAGUACUGAAGAGGGUUAGGUAUUCACAUGCAUAGUGAAAACAUAGCAGAGCAUUAAAAAAUGUGAAUGAUAAAUACAAACCUUUGUGCUUAAAGGUAUGAGUGGUAAGGAUAGAAAGACUGUUAUUAUUGCCAGUAGAGAUUUCAAUUCUCCAAACCAUCUGUUUUUGGUGAUUGUUGGAAGCAGGAUGUAAGACUUACAUCAAACACAGGUUCAGACUGGUUCCAGCACUGCUCAGUUCCUCAGAUCCUAGAGUCUCAAGACCCAAAAAGUAGAAAAAUCCAAUAAUAAGAGCCGACAAUUAAAUAAUUAUUCCAAAUAUAUAAAUAUUUUGCCUUUUUAUGUCUAUUUUUAUUCUGAGACCCUUCUCAAACUAUGUAUGGGAAUGAGAAUUAGUGGUGACAGAAUUUUUAAUAAAGACAGUGUUGACACAGGUACUGCAGGAGCUCUGACUGAUACUCAGCAAUUACUUCUGCCCAUCCAAUCUCCAAAUCAAUCCAAUUUACUCCCAUCAGCUCUGCAAUCAGUUCUCCCACUAGCCUUUUACACUUCCCCUAUCAAUGUGCCUGCUGUUUCCUUUUCUUUGCAGGGAGGCUGCAGGUACAGCCAGGAUGCUUUAUUUCCCUCAUUCUGAAUGAAGGGAGUGACACAUACAUUAAUUUUUCUUUAUCUCUUGACCAUUUCAAUAGUUUUUUCAAAACUUAUAUUUUUAGAGUUUUCUUUUUGCCUGUUUCAGAUAGUUGUUUACCCACGAACAAAAAUAACUUCCUGUGACAGAUGUGCCUUCUGGGUGGUUAGAAACAGAUUAACAGCAUGUUUCAGGAUGCACACCUAUGGCAUGGAGAAUUACACUGAAUUAGGAAGUGUCUUAUAGACAUAGCGUCUUCCCUAUGAAAACCAUGAAAAAUCAGACUCUAUUAUAACUCUUCAAUUUCUAUGCAGAGUUAUUUUGCAUUUUACAGUAAGAUUUUACCCUUCAGAAUUUUACAACUUUGCACAAAAGACUCUGUCAAAUGUGCAACAACUGCAGAGUAACUUACUUAAAAUAUAGAUUCUAGACAAGCUUUAAUCACAAAAUUUAUACAUCAGGUCUAGGCUAGAAGGCAAGUGUGAAUAAAUCUCUUGGAAGUUGGAGGUACAGCAGAAACUCAGCAUCAAGCAUGGUUUUCACCCUGCAAUAUCAGACCACAAGGACAAUUAAGUUAAUUAAUACAAGCCUUUAUGGGCUCUCAUGCUGGUUCUUCCAGUCAGUCUGGGCGAGCAACCCUCACUCUGUCAUUACUUGAUGUUGAAAUGGUGAAAAUAGUAUUUAAGCCAGCUUUUAUAUCCAGUGCACUUAUAUACAUACAUGUGAAUGUGUAUCCAUGCAUGCACACACACACUUAUCUAAGCAUACUUUCAAGGAUUUCAAGGAACGAAAGACCAAUCCAGCUGUCAAGAAAAAUACACUUCGCAUUGGGGGAACCUGGCUAUCAUGUUUUGCUUCUCUCAUUUUUAUUUUAUUAUUUAAUGCAGGAUUGCAAGGUGUUAAAUACGAGUUACAGCAAAUAGCAUAGAUAGAAAGCAAGCUUGCCCUCACCAAAACCUAGAAGUAGUUUCACUGAAAAGUCUAAUCUUAGGAUGUCACAUUGUAUGUCCCACUGAUGUGUGGCCUCACAGCAUGGCACAAAACUUAAAGCAGAAUCGGAGAGUUGGGUUUAUAGAAGGGGCAUUCCGUGAAGAGAGAGGAGACAGAAGCCGAGGCCCAUAGCUUCUCUCAUCUCCAGCUUUUUAAACUUCCUACAACCAGUAACUCAAUAAAACCCCUUAAAAAACAGUGCUUGUAACAGGACCCACUUUAAAUAAAUUCUUUCAGUUUUGAUGCCCAACCUCUCUUGCAGCAGGACCAGUCGUUCCUUUGAAAGCAGCAUUAUUUUAAGAACCUUUUUAUCCCUUUAUAAUAUAAAACUGUCAGGAGCAUUCCUCUGUUUGGUUUAUUGAGGAGUCUGUCUUUCUAGUCAUGUGAACACGAAGUCCUUCUCUACAGAAUUACAAAAAUAACCUGUAAACAAGUAUUUCAUUUGUACCUCCCUGUUGUCAUCGCAUUUUCCUUCCCUGUGCCUGUAAGUUUCUAAGGCAGAAUAGCUAUUUAAUGAUCAAACAAACUAACUGGCAUUGUUCAUUGCUAGAAGAAAAGCACAUCAAUAAAACAAGAAAUAGUUCUGUGAUAAUAGACCAGGUGCCACAGUUUGCAAAGUAAUUACCUGUGGAUACCAGGGGACUGCAGCUGAAAAGAACUAGAUACCCUUUCUGCUAUUACUGACAAAUAGAAGACAGUACCUGGUCUCAAUUUAACAGCUGGAAUUACAUGAGUAAAUGUAAUAAAAAAUACUCUAUUCUGAAAA